GACUUUGCUUGGGGGAAGCCAGCUGGGAAGUUGCCAAUGAUCCACUGAUGUGGUGUCACAACAUGUUUUGGAGGUCGACACUGGAAAUGUAAAACGCAGAGUAUCAUUGCAUUGACACAGUGAAGGAUCACACUUUAGUUGAGCAAGAUCACAAGAUGAGUUUCAAUUGAGCCUCUUCCAAGUGAAGAUUAGAGAAAGGCCAAGAUGGAUCUGCUCAAGCCAAGAGUAUUUUUGGCUCCAAGGCAGGCAACCAUUUGGAGAACAGAGAGUGCCCUGCCAGUUCACCACUAAUAGGUGUCAUUCUCCAUGUGAACUAAAGCUUCUCACCAUCACGAGGUCAUUCAUGGUCUCUUCCAAACAUUCCAUUUCCACAAAAAUAUAUGGCAAACGCUCCAGCUACUCAAGAAAACACUCCGUUCUUAAGAAUUGCACUGGACAAAACUUCACAAAUCCAAGAAUCAGUACGUCAUGCUUGUUUACCCAGGAGAAUUCCUCCAUGAAUACAGUCCUUAUUUAUGAGCAGGACUUCAGUGAAGAUUUGAUAAGACUUCAAGGCACAGGCCAAGCUGACUUUAAAGUUCAGUCGAAGGUGGAGGACAGCGAAGGGAGCAGACAAGAUCACAGAGACAGGAGAAGCUUGAGGGGUGGCAGGAAAGACAAGCAGAAUGGUGAAUAAGAAGGAGAAGUAGAAUUUGGUGGCUGAAGUCCAUCAGGCUGCCACAGCAUCAGGGUUGCCAAAGCAAAGCUUCGAAUAAAUAAAGAUUUGAAGAAGAAGAAGAAGAAUAAAAAGCCAAAGUGGUGAACAUCUACAAAGAUCUUGUAUGAGAAUCAAAAUCUUGCCAAAUCUGUCUCUAUCUAUCUCAUGAGAGUGGAAAUAUUCGUAAGCAAAAAAAUAAUCUUUGAAAAUUGGAAAGUCAAUGGAUGUCCUGUAGAAUUGCCAUGAACAUCACAGUAUCUGUGAUUGCUGGAUUGUUCGCUUC